AGACCUCUAAACCUUUUAUCUCCCUUUCCCUGUCAAAAGCUCUAAAACCCUACGCGCCUCCCAACAGCGACGUCGCUUUUUGUUUCGCCAUCUUUCUCUCUCAAGACUCUUCAUCACCAAAGCGCUUCCACUAUCUCACCCCUCCUUUCUCUCUUUCCCUCUCCCGAAAUCCCUACUCUCUCUCUCCACGUGCCACCGCACCUUCACUGCCCGUUUCGAAUCCCAAAUUGACGUUGACCUCGUUCCCGCCCACUAGGACUUCAACCUCUUCACCAUCGACGCAGGCAGCGGUAGGGUCCGAGCCGCUUGCUUCGCUGCCAACUACGACGCUUCUGUCGCCAUCUGCGAACUUCCUUUCUCCACUAUCUCCUUCGAAACCACUGGAGGUGUCGGCGAAACGGAUGAAUUGCCAGAGAGAGACCGGGGACAUUUAAUCUGAGCGUUACUUGCUGAAUCUUGGCAAGGUCUUCCCACGUUUCUGGGGGCAACUCUCUGCCACUUUGUCUUGUAUUAGAAGAAUUUAUUCCCUAUUAUAUGGUCAGUUUUAGGCAAUGCAUGCUGCUCCAAUGUACAUUGCAGAGACAACAAGAUAAAUUAUAUAGAUGGUAAGAGCUAAUCUUUAGAGCAUUGGCCUGAAGUCUGGUUUAUCAAGAUCAGACAGUAUGGAAAUGAAGAAUAAAGGUGCUACUGCAACUAGCAGCAAUCCUCCUUAAUCAAUUCUUGUUGAUUCAAGUGGUGAAUGUUUGAAGGAACCAACCAUGCAAUGCCAGUAGGUUGUGGAGCAAUCCAAGGCUGAUGUGAACACUUUGCAGCCAAAAUCUGUUGAGCAAAAUGUUGUGCCUUCUAAGCAGUCAAAGCCUCCUGGUGAAGAGAGUGCCACUAAGAUUGAUCUAUUUCCCAAUCAAGUUCUUAGUGGCACUAAAGGACAAACAACUGUUGAAAAAAGUAAGCAGCCAAUAGUAGCCUCUUUCUCUGUUUGCUCUGGCAAUGGUACAAACCAAGGUUCAGAAGAGCCAAAUCAAAAUUUGAAGAGAAAAAGAAAAGACACUGACGACUCUGAGUGCCACAGUGAAGAUGUUGAGGAAGAAUCAACUGGUGCUAAAAAGACAGCUGGUGGGUGAGGAGGUGCAGGUUCCAAGAGAAGCCGUCCAGCUGAAGUGCAUAAUCUAUCUGAAAGGAUUAUGUCAAUGGGAGGUGGUUUAUAUAUGCCUCCAAUGAUGUUACCAGCAAGAGAGAGAUUGGUUGUGAUAUAAACAAGACAUAUGCACUCAAAAACAUAAAU